rnacentral:lncRNA from 1 species
GGUUUUGGUGGGGUUGAUGGUUAGUGAGGGAGUUGGGAUAUUAUUUUUAUUUUGUUUCCCAAAAUUCCUUUCCCUUUCUGACGUUUUCAUUUCUUUUCGUUUCUCUGCCAUUUUCCCUUUUUUCUUCUUCCUUUGGUUUUGUCACAAAUUCUUUGCUCAUCGUUGCAUUUCGAAUCCCUGGUCUCUUUACGCGGUUUGGUAAGUGGGGUUGUGUUUAUCUUUAGCUUUCGAUUUUUG